GGCGGGGGCGGCCCGGCUCCCAGCCCGGCCCCGGCGGGGGCCCCUCUCCCCUGGGAGCGCUCCGGGAGCUCGAGAACCCGCGCCGGCAGCGGGCCAGGCCCAGCCUCCUGCCCUCUCAACCUGUCCCUGGCUCAGUGCCUGGCACGUUGCUUUGCACGAAGCUGAGGCUCGGGAAGUAUUUGCUGAAUGAAUGAAUAAAUGGCACAGUCAUAGACGCGGAGAAAAACAAAGGGAGAAGAAUCAUCAUUUCAAAAGAAUGGAAAAAGACAGACUACUGCUUCAAGCUCGGGAUCCGUAGUCUGCCCACUGGCCCUGUCCUGGCGACCCGGCAGGGCCAGCCUCCUGCUCAGGCCAGUGUCCAGCUUUGAGCACUGAAUGCCAUCUUCACAAGAGAGUCUUCCUCCAGCUGUCACUCAGGGCCACAGCCGCCCGCAGACCAGAGUCUCUGCUAGUGUGAAGGCUCAGUGCUGCAGCCAUACCGCAUCUUCCUGUUUCUCCCCCUGCCUGCCACACCCCUACCCACCCCAAAGGCUAACUUGGAUAGCUCUCCUUGGGAAGGAGGCAGAGGGUUCAGACUCCAAAAUGCUAGAUUUCUCUGGAAAUGUCUUAGACACCUCUUGUCUGUAUGUUGUGUCAGGUGGUCCUGGGCUGCCUCUCAGCAGCUCUCUUAGUCGUCUCCCUUUAACCUCCAGCCCAGCUCCCUUUAACCUCCCUUUAACACCUCUUUUGGAGUAUUAUGCUCCUGCUUGAAAACUUGGAGGGUAAACUGAACUGGGCCGUUGGGCCUCCAUGAGCUGCCCCAGCCCUGCCCCCAGCCCUGUUGGCCCCUGCAUGGAGCCAGACUUCCCCAGCCCCGUGCCUGCCCUGUGUCCUGACUUGCAGCCAUCAUCUGUGUUUUCCCAGGUUGCCCUCCCAGCUCCUCCUUCCUGAAAUGCUCUCUUCUAGCCUCUCCGUGUAGUCUUUGCUAGCUGGUUCUUCUAGGUCUUCCGGAAAGUAGCGAGUUACACAUAAUCUUCUCGGGUGCCUGGGUCCCUGGGAUCUUGAAGGUAUAUUCUCAGAGUUCUGUGGAUUUAUUUCCUUUAAAAGGAAAUGUACAAAAUACAUUUCUCUGGUCUUGGAAACUUUGAUGUAGAGUUGAGAGCUUGGGACUUGGAGUCAGAGAAAUCGGGGUUCAAAUCUCAUUAGCUGAGUUACCUUGGGCAAGGUAGGUAACCUCUCUGUGUCGAGUUUUCUCACGAAGAAAAUGGGAGAAAAUAGUCACUACCACGUGAAGUUGUUGAGUGAUGAUAUGCAAAGACAUGUAAAGUGCCUGGCACAGGGCAAGCCCUCAGUAUGUGUGAUUUAUUGCUAGUAUUCACGGUCAAACAAAUAAACAUCUGUGACCACA